rnacentral:rRNA from 1 species
UGAGGAAUAUUGCGCAAUGGGCGAAAGCCUGACGCAGCGACGCCACGUGGAGGAUGAAGGUCUUCGGAUUGUAAACUUCUGUUAAGUGGAAAGAAAGACUCAUCUUUAAUACAGAUGAGUUAUGACGGUACCAUUAGAGAAAGCACCGGCUAACUUCGUGCCAGCAGCCGCGGUAAUACGAAGGGUGCAAGCGUUAUUCGGAUUUAUUGGGUGUAAAGGGUGCGUAGACGGUAUGUUAAGUCUGCUGUUAAAUAUUCCGGCCUAACCGGAACCAUGCAGUAGAAACUGGCGUACUAGAGGGUGGAAGAGAGAAGUGGAAUUCUCGGAGUAGCGGUAAAAUGCGUAGAUCUCGAGAGGAACACCAAUGGCGAAGGCAGCUUCUUGGUCCAUACCUGACGUUGAUGCACGAAAGCGUGGGGAGCAAACAGG